GCCAGACUCCUACGGGAGGCAGCAGUGGGGAAUAUUGGACAAUGGGGGAAACCCUGAUCCAGCGACGCCGCGUGAGGGAAGAAGUAUUUCGGUACGUAAAGCUCUAUCAGCAGGAAAGAAAAUGACGGUACCUGACUAAGAAGCCCCGGCUAACUACGUGCCAGCAGCCGCGGUAAUACGCAGGGGGCAAGCGUUAUCCGGAUUUACUGGGUGUAAAGGGAGCGUAGACGGUUGUGCAAGUCUGGAGUGAAAGGCGGGGGCCCAACCCCCGGACUGCUUUGGAAACUGUAUAACUGGAGUGCAGGAGAGGUAAGUGGAAUUCCUAGUGUAGCGGUGAAAUGCGUAGAUAUUAGGAGGAACACCAGUGGCGAAGGCGGCUUACUGGACUGUAACUGACGUUGAGGCUCGAAAGCGUGGGGAGCAAACAGGAUUAGAUACCCCUGUA
rnacentral:rRNA from 1 species